rnacentral:lncRNA from 1 species
ACAAAUUUCAUAUGUACAAUACAAGGCAAAAAAACCUCUCUUCUUGAUCCAGGCCAACCCUGCUCCUAUCUUUGCUACCUGUCAGUGAUGCAUCAGGUUAGUUUUUGACGUGUUAAAUCGAUGAAGCACUCAUUCAAUGACAUUGUUAAACGUAACUAACCUCCUCCCAUGCAAUGUUAGCUAGUAAAGCUUUAUUCUUGUAGUGAUUGUGGUUCGGCAUAUGGGGCAGAAUUCGAGGCUUUCUCCACAUUCACAACAAGUCUGCCCCAUUUGAGGAAAUGACAAAAUAACAAUAGGAGAAAAGUUAAUAGUAUGUCCUAUUGGUAGUCUUACAUUCAAGAUGAAUCGUUUUAGCAUAUUAUUCAACAUGUUACCUGAUGCCCGCAACCAAAUGCCAUGUCCUUCCCGUUAGUAAGACAAAUUGGACAAACCUGCAAAAAUUAACCGUGUAUAUGUAAUGUUGUUAAAUUGUUGUAAGUGACAGAAACAUCAGAUGAAAGCUAAACUGUGUCAGGAUUAUAUGAAAGUCACAUCUCAAGUUGAAAAGAAUGGUUUAAAUACCUUGUUAUCAUAUAAGCCACCUGAAGAUGAUGCCGUGUUAACAUUAUCAAAGCCAGAAUAUGCAGGUGCACUUUGCUGAGAACUGUUUGGACGAAAAGAUGCUAUGCUGCUGCUAGAAGUCCUCUCAUAGUGAGGUGGAGGCAGAGGAACCCUGUCCGGUGAAUGUCCCCUCCGUGCACUAUACAAUGAAAACAUGAUGCAAAUUCAAUUAUUACCCCAAUAAAAACCUUUACAAUAGACUAGAAGUGCCAUAUUUUUCCAUAUAAGAUUCAUUUAUUACCCCAGUAUGCCAGAAUCUAUAGUUGCCUUAUAUUGAGCAGGUAUCUCCAUCAAAGCUGAUAGAGCAAAGUCUGUCUCUUUUCUUUUUGAAUCUACGCUCCUUGACAUUAUUUCGGUAAAAUUCACAAACUACAUGCAGCCAAAACUAAAAUAUUCACAUUUCGGAAAAAAUAGUAAAGUGUAAAUAUGGCCAAGUGAAUUACACCAAACCUGAAAAUUGUCAAAUGCUCGAGCUGGAAUGUUAUCAUCAAAUUCCCUCAUCAUUUCCCACGGUCCAUCUCCUACCCCCACCAAAACUACUGAAAGCGGAUACUCGCUGCAAUUUUAAGAGAGUAUAAGAAUGCAGCAUGGCCCUUCCUAAGGAGAGAAAACAACAAAAUUUACCUGGCUUUUACAAUUGCAUCAAUUGUCUUCAGUUCUUGGGGACUUAACUUGCCAUGUUGAGUGUCAACACUUCUGGUCACCUGUGCCAAAAUUUUAAGUAUCAAUUUUUUCAGAUCUUAAAAAAGGAAAGCCUACGGUAAAAGAUUACUCUAGACAUAUUGAAGCACUGGCAAAAAUUAAGGGCAUUUCAUACUAAUUGAACACAUUAGACAUUUUAUAUAUGAAUCAAAAGAUAGAUAUUUCAUCUAUCACUACUACUAUUUAUACCCAUUGAAGAUGCAUGAUAACUUUUUUUUUCUACGAGACCAAAUUUGUUGGCUAAAAUAAUUUGAUGAAAAGGGGGAUAGCAUAGGAGACCUGCCCAUGCUAGCAGAGUCUUUGACAAUCCAAACUACAGUCCAAAAAGAAUCCCAGUGAAAGUUGUGACAGAUGGAAUUACUUCCAGCUCCAAACACCAACAAUAUAUUUAUUAAAGGUCCAGCACCUCUUGAUAUACGCAGUGAACUUCAUCUUAGAAUGUAAUGUCAGGCUUAACUUAAUUUUACAAAAUCAUAUAUAAGUGAGGUGUGACCCUCACCUGUUAUGAAAUUGAGUUAAGUUUAAAUCCACUUUCUAAAACGUAAUUUUUCUAAUAACCUCCCAGGUAUAACUAUUCGUUCAAUGAUGUGUAUUUCUUCUGAGGUUCAGCUCUAAUUCAGAUAUAUCCAUCUAACAGUUAAUCAUAGCUAAAUAUUGUAUGGAACAAAUGUAAUUCAGACACAUUUUGCUAAUCUAACAAUUAUCAGUUUUCUUCUGCAGCCUUGUCAAUGGCAAGAUAUUGAUGUCUUAAGGUAGAUAUUAUUGUUAUCUAUUACAAUGCUAGCCAAACAAAAUUUGCUGUUGAAACUACUAUAACAUUUUACUUGUUUUAUCUGUGAUACUUAAGAGUCAUGCUCACUAAGGCAGCGUGACAACUGCCAAUGAAGUAUUUGAUAUUUGAUACAUAUUUAAACUAGAUAAAUGAAUGUUCUUUUUUAUAUGAAAAAUGUAUUAAAUAUACCUGUCCAUCAGCAAUUAUUAGCAAGACAUGAUAUUGGCCCCCACUUUGUUCAACUAUAGUCAUAGCCAUCUCAAUAAUAGGAGCAAAUGAAGUGGGUCCUGUCACAUAAAUGCAAUGAGUUAUGCUGAACCUGAUUAAAAAAUGCUACCUAAGAUUAGUGGUGAAGGCAACACCUGCUAGACGUAGGCAGGGAAUGAUAUCUCUAUAUCUUGACAGAACUUCCUCAAAUCCAUUGCAGAAACUCUCAUCUGAAUGGAAACUAAAGACAUCUUGAUCAUGCGUUGAUGCUGGGAGGAAAAAAAGACAAGAAAGAAACACAAUCAAGUUUGCAAUUUGGAAACACAAGCAAUUUGAAAAGCAUCAAGAUUUAUAUCGGGAACUACC